AUUGAACGCUGGCGGCAGGCCUAACACAUGCAAGUCGAGCGGAGCGGCGGCCGGGAGAGUAAUGCCUAGGAAUCUGCCUGGUCGUGGGGGAUAACGACCGGAAACGGGCGCUAAUACCGCACACUAUCAGAUGAGCCUAGGUCGGCUUAGCCAGUUGGUGGGGUAAAGGCCUACCAAGGCGACGACCCGUAACUGGUCUGAGAGGAUGAUCAGUCACCCUGCAGCUGAGACACGGUCCAGCCUCCGACGGGAGGCAGCCGUGGGGAAUAUUGGACAAUGGGCGAAAGUCUGAUCCAGCCAUGCCGCGGGUGGGAAGAAGGUCUUCGGAUUGUAAAGCACUUGAAGUUGGGAGGCGUUACCAUCAGAAUAAGCACCGGCUAAUUUCGGGCCAGCAGCCGCGGUAAUAC
rnacentral:rRNA from 1 species